GACGAACGCUGGCGGCGUGCUUAACACAUGCCAGUCGAACGGAAAGGCCCUGCUUUUGUGGGGUGCUCGAGUGGCGAACGGGUGAGUAACACGUGAGUAACCUGCCCUUGACUUUGGGAUAACUUCAGGAAACUGGGGCUAAUACCGGAUAGGAGCUCCUGCUGCAUGGUGGGGGUUGGAAAGUUUCGGCGGUUGGGGAUGGACUCGCGGCUUAUCAGCUUGUUGGUGGGGUAGUGGCUUACCAAGGCUUUGACGGGUAGCCGGCCUGAGAGGGUGACCGGCCACAUUGGGACUGAGAUACGGCCCAGACUCCUACGGGAGGCAGCAGUGGGGAAUAUUGCACAAUGGGCGGAAGCCUGAUGCAGCAACGCCGCGUGCGGGAUGACGGCCUUCGGGUUGUAAACCGCUUUCGCCUGCGACGAAGCGUGAGUGACGGUAAUGGGUAAAGAAGCACCGGCUAACUACGU
rnacentral:rRNA from 1 species